UCGGGAAUAUUGCGCAAUGGAGGAAACUCUGACGCAGUGACGCCGCGUAUGGGAAGAAGGUUUUCGGAUUGUAAACCAUUUUAGACAAGGAAGAAAAAAGACAGUACUUGUAGAAUAAGCUCCGGCUAACUACGUGCCAGCAGCCGCGGUAAUACGUAGGGAGCAAGCGUUAUCCGGAUUUAUUGGGUGUAAAGGGUGCGUAGACGGGAAGGUAAGUUAGUUGUGAAAUCCCUCGGCUCAACUGAGGAACUGCGAAACUAAAACUGCUUUUCUUGAGUACUGGAGAGGAAAGUGGAAUUCCUAGUGUAGCGGUGAAAUGCGUAGAUAUUAGGAGGAACACCAGUGGCGAAGGCGACUUUCUGGACAGUAACUGACGUUGAGGCACGAAAGUGUGGGGAGCAAACAGGAUUAGAUACC
rnacentral:rRNA from 1 species